UUAGCCUCGUAAUUCAAUGGCAUCGAUUAUCUUCGCUUCAUUCUUGUUCAUGUUAAAUCUACUUGGUAUACACGUAAUGAUGCACUGCAAUGAUUUGCUAGAAAUGCUUACAGAACAUCCACUGAUCGGUAUGGAUUGUAUGAUAAAAACAUCUUAAAACAAUGAAUUACGUAUUUUACAAAUCUGCACAUUCCUUCGAAGAGAAAUCAUCAAGGGCCUUUCUAUAAUUGUAAUUACAACCAAUUAAAGUUAUCUGAAAAAUACAUCAAAGUGUUGAUUUUCUAGUCUAAUAGAAAGACGUAUACGAAACUUGAAAAUUGUUUCCUUUCGAUUUUCUUGUUUGAAAAAUACUUUAGCCUUUAAAUUAUUUGUUACAGGCUCCGUUUAAAACUUGAAAAUAUUUCCAAUCUUUCAAUGGAAACAUACCUUCGCCUAGAUUUACUACAGAGAACUACAUAUUUAAAGUUUGAAAGUUAUUCAUCUCAGUUUGAAAAAUACUUUUUAAAGUAUAAGUUUAAUACUUGAAAAUUGUCCACCUCAAAUGCUUCAAGUGAGAAGAUAGUUUCAGAAUCUGUAAAAAAAUCUGCUUCAGACCUUGAAACAUAUUCGACUGAAAUUUGUUGAUUAUAAGAAAAUUAAGAUACCUGACGUCCUAAAUGUUUAAUUUCCAGAACAGAAGAUUGUUCGACUGAAAUUCCUUCAAUAUCAAAAGAAAUUAAAUUCGUGUCUAAUUCUCUGUCACAAAAACUGUAUUACAAAUAAUUUCAACCACAGAAUUACCGAAAAACUAUUUGUGCACGAGUCAACAUUUAGGAUUCAUCUAAUCUGCAUGCUAUUAGCGAAAAUGAUCUGUUGCGUCUCGCUCGAACACAAUAAUUAAUUCGAGACUAAUUAAACGGUGAUUAAUGAGCCUGCGACUAAUCUAUCAACUUCGAAUAGAGACAGGCCUGAAUUCGCUUUCAGCUAAAAGUGGAAUCAGAUUUAAUAACUGGAGCGCCGAGGAAGAAUCCUCGAUUAUCCUUCGAAGUCGAUUACUCAUGGUGAUCCUUGACACGGAACGUCUUUUUGCAUGAAACAAUCGACCAUUAAGAGUCAGUCGCGACCUAUGGCGUUAAACGUCAUGCAAGAAAUUGCAGUUGCGUUACAUCGUUCGACGAAUUAUUUGCUGUGAUAUAGACGUUGGUUGGUUUGGACAUUUAAGCCGUCGAUUAUAAUUAGAUAGAAACGACGUGACCGAACUGCAAUUUGCGACCAAUUGCACGCCUGUCAUGAUAACAAAAACAGUUAAUUGAAUUGCAUCUCUUGUAUCUCUUGUAUCAUGGCUUUAUCAGCCAUUGGAACACGAAUGCAAGAAAAUUAUUUUCUUGGUGAUGGUAUCGCUUUAGGAAUCGUGCAGUUUCUUUGGGAAAAUUUAUUUCUUAGUCUUUAAAAGCUUAAUUGUUAUACAAGGAUUUUUAUUUGAAGAAAAAUCGUGAAAAAUGUAUUACGAAUUACAAAUUUUUCGGGCUUGCUUUGGUCCUUCAUCCUCGAGUUCUGUUCGAUUUCUGUGCAACAGGAAAAUGUUAACACGUUCGGGUAAAACGAGAUCAAGGCGAGAAUAAAAAAUAAGAGGAAUAUUAAAAGUAAGCAUAUUUUAUAUCGAAGAAAUUCCUUUACUGUGUAAUUUUGCACACUUCUCUUCUAAUUUUGUAUACUUCUAUGUAUUUCACAUAAUACAAAAUAAUAUUCAUAAGUUAUGGGAAAAAUAAUGAUCUCCUCCCCUCGUUAUAUAUUUACGUAUUUGUAUAUUCUACAUAGGCCAACACAAUAUUCAUAAAUUAUUGGAAGAACGAUCUCUACAUUCUCCAUUACACUCUCCAUUACAACACUCAUAUAUUAUACAAAAAAGUCUCUAUUUUCCCCAUUACACAUUUACAUACUUCUAUAAUUCAAAUAAGGAUAUAAGAAAAGAGAUUAUUUUUAUUUUCCCCACUGCGUAUUUGCAUAUUUCUAUAUUCCGUACAAUCCAAAGCACAUGCCAAAUUACAAAUAAAAUUAUCUUAUCGAAAACGUUCUUUCCUCCGUAGACCUCCAAUAUCAAGACACGUAAGUCGAAGCAACUUCCUUGCGCUACUGUUUACCCUGUGUUUCUCUCUCUCUCUCUCUCUCUCUCUCUCUCUGUCCCGCAAGUGAGAGAAAAGGAAAAAUGAGAACGCUGCAUAAUCUUGUGCUACAUUUUGUGGUUUAAAGUUACCAAAAAUAUCCCGUAUCCGGACACUCCAGCAGGCUGUAAAGUGUAAGACCCCGUCUCCACGUGGGUGGUCGGAUCUCCCUAGGACUCACAAUCCUUUGCUGCUUUCCUAGAAAUUCGAGAUUUCCAAAGGGAGCAAAGAAAAAAGAAAAAGUUGGGAAGCUGAAGGGAAGAGAAAAAAAAAAUUAGUGGAGCGGGGCGGGGGAAGGAGGGGGAGAAGACAAAAAGGAACGAGUGUAUAACAGGCGCGUGACUAGAAACAAAGAACUUAAAGAGAAAAAGGAAAGAAGAAGAAGAAGUAGAAGAGAAGAAGAAGAAGAAAAAGGGUGUCGUGUACACACUGGAAAUUGCGUUCACGAUACAGUCAAUGGUGGAUCGCGUGUAGGUUAAAGUUAAUGGCCCCGCAGUGGCUGUCCAAUGGACAGGAGAACGCGUUUUCAGUGAAAGCGCCGACUUUUAUGAACUCUUCGGGACACUUUAUUGCCGGCUUUGGCUUUUUUAGAUGCACGAUACCUGAAUUCCACAUAGAUAGACCCGUCACCGUGAAACGUCUUUGAGGUAAUAAAAAGGAUUAUGGGCUGGCCGAAUGCCGGGAACCGCCGUGAAACUAUUAAGCCGGCAUAAAUCAUGUUUCGUGAACGCGUCUAAUCCAUAAGCCUAAAAAGAUAAAGUCUCGUCGAGCAACUGCCCCGAAGAAGAUACGUCGAUUCCGUUAGCGAUCGAACCCGAUGAUGAAUCAAACGUUUCGCUCGUAGGUUUUUAAAGGAUGAGAGUGGCGUUGUGUGGGAUAAAGAUCGACAGGUUAGGAUACGACAACUAACCUUAAAAGACGCGGUCAAACAAUGCACGUAAAAAUGUACAUUCGUCGUUAUUUCUUUCGUUCAUCUAACUUUAUGUAGACUCUCGCAUUAACAGAAAUUGAGAAAUUGAUUGAUCAGAUUAAUUUUCAUGAAGUUAGAUGAACGAAAGAAAUAACGAUGAACGUGGAAUUUUUCUUUAAAUUUUCAAACGAAAAAUAUUUUUGGCCUGUAAGAUACGACAAUAGCGGAUGACUUGACUUGCGUAAUUUCACCUAUUCGAAUUAAGCAUUCCUUCUAGUAAAAUAAUCAUGGAAUUGGUAUUAAAAUUUCGCUGUCGUAUAACGAAUAUUAAUAGGAUGAAAUUUAAUUUUCGUAACGAGGAGAGUCGAAAAACAAGUCGUACGAGAAGACCGCGUUGGUCAUUAAUAGAACCUAGCUGGUUGAAAAGAGGAGUCUGAAAAAGGACAAGCAGUUUCGGUCUGAAAGGUCGCAAAAAAAUUUUUCGCACUAGAAUUCCAAGAAAACGGUCAUAUAUCAAAGGUGGAACUGAAACAAUAAUUACGUUGCUGCUGUAAUAUUUUAACAAAAAUUUGAAACACAGUAGAAUCUAGGCGAACGUUUCAUCGAUACGUUUCGUGGAAAUAAUAAUUCUCAAUGAUGGAAGAGUACAUCUUUUAUUACCUGACCAUUUCUUACAUUCUUUAUUAUUACGAGAAAGAUAUUUCAUAUUGCGGAAUAUCGAAUUGGAGUUAAUAUUACAGCGGAAAACAGCACAGCUAUAUGCACUUAGUGACAAAAGUUAGGGAGCAUAAUGAAUGGAAAAUUACUGUAUGUUUUUCAUCUUCCAAGAUACAUUAGCUGGUAUAUUGUAUUAAAAAUACAAUAAAGACAUAACAGUCCAUAUAUGGACGUACAAUAAGUUCCAAUGUUAAAUAUUUAAAACGAAUACAAAAUUGUGAAAUUUGGCGAUCCUGGUCCUCUAACUAAUAAUGGAAACUAUAGACAGAUUCGUGUAUGAUAAAUAUAAACAUACAAUCUAUUUUUCGAAUUUUAGUAAUUUUAGUAAUUAAUUUAUUCAUGCCGUGAGGUGAAAUAGGUUAAGGGUCACCGCUGUUCUUUUUUUUAUUAUUUAAUUUGUACUUUACAUUCGGAUUUGUACAUAUGGACAUUCGGUAAAUUUUUCUAGCUUCACCGCUAUGUUACCAACUUAUUGCUCAUCUCGUUUUGCGUCGGCAUGUUCCAUAUUUCCAAUUCCAUUUUACGAUAUUAAAGAGCAUCGAACGGCGGCCAUGCGUUUCGAUGUAAAUCGUACUCGACGCUGUCACCGCAUUCGAUAGGUAGACGGCCGACGAACAAGCAUCGUUACUCCGUUAAAGUAGCUUCUGGCUAUCAUUAUCUCUUCUCGAGAGUCAAUCUGACGCAGCAAUAUAGGAAGCUGGCCUUUAAGAAAGCGCACACGUGUUGGGUUGAAGACAGGUAGCCAACUUCGAAUGUUCCCACACGUGGUUUUAGUCACGUCCAUAAUUAAUGCGUGACACGGUACAACUGAAUACACAAAAUCGUUCGUUUUAUCUGAAGAACCGAGGAAUCGUAAAGUACGUUUCUUCGACAGCCAUUUAUGUCCCCUUGUGUCUGUCUAGUCUGUGUAGCUGUGUCGCGCAACAGCUCCACUCUGUUAAUUUAACCGUGGAGCGAUAUGGAUUUUCUAACGUUUCCAUCGAACAGAAACGAGUUUAUUCGACGUUGCUGAUAGAUAAGAUAGAAGAGUGGAAUUUUCAAACGGCACGCUUAUCCCAAUUUAUCAGUGAGGUAAUCGUUCAUUGAUUUAAUUCGUAGUAGCAUUCGGCGGUUGUAUCGAGAAGCUGAUUUCCUCGAAUAGGUUAGGAUAUCUAGGAUAUCUAAAUAGAAUAUCUAAAUUUUGUAAAUAUAUUUUACAAGUAUAGGACAAUUGAAUCUACUGCAAUUGAUUACUUCUGGCAAAAAAAAAGAAAAAAGAUGAAAAUGUGACUUAUCAUAUCAUUACAGACACCAAUAGAUUUCGCAUAAAAGUUAACUCUACUUGUAAACAAUUCGAAGAAAAGAUUGGCUAUUGUGGACCAACGAUCAACAAAAAUCUUUCUUCUCUACUGUCUACGAAGACAUUUGGCAUAUUAUUAUUCUGGGGAUUUGUGAAUAAUCAUCUCCAUUCAGAUGCCAUUGCGGACUGACAAUGCGCAUAUAUAUAUUCGUACACAUGCGUAGUGACAGUCAAGUUUUUUUUAUGCCACACUGCUGGAAUUUUACCGAAUGUCCAGCUGGACAAAUUGUAAAGUACAAAUUAAAUAAUAAAAAAAAACUACUGGAACUUUAGUGUCGAAUUUUCAUUUAAUUUCGAAUUUCUUCGUUCCUAAUACACCAUGAAGCGUUCUAAGCUUGCAGUUAUUCCAUCUUCCGUAUGUAGCUUUCUAGUGCUGUUUUAUAUCUACUGCUUUUAUAUAUUUUUAAUUUAUUGUCCGUACAAGAGGAAGGUUAAAUGUUUUUUUUUAUUUUAAUUUCUGCUUUACAGUUUGUCCAGCAGGGCAUUUGGUAAAUUUGUCUAACUAGGUUAAAUGUGUGGCUGAUUAGCCAGUACAUUUUAAUGUCUAGAUAUUCCACAAGAGUAAGAACAAAAUGUAAUUUUUAUAUUUCUCUGCUGCGAUCUCUUUGUAUCUUCAAAUUUAUAAGAAGAAUAUAAUUAUUGUAACAGCAUCUUAAAUCUUAUCGGUGAUUUUCCAGUCUAACUGGCAACAACUUGUUUAAACGUUUCAGCAUAUUUAACGAGAGUUGUUUAUUAUUGAAACGAAGGUACUCGCGAUUAUGCGAAUUCAAAGGCAUCGAAUAAACCUCGCCACGGGUCGUUCGUAUAUUAUGCAUUAUGUACGUAUCCCAACAACGAUCAGCAACGUGACAAACGUCGUGAAAGCAGGCGAAGCGAGGAAAUCCGACGAGGACCGGUGGAAUUCAACAAAACGGGUCGGUAACACGCGAACCCCAUAAAGCAGUAUGAGGCAUGACUUUACGACCCUUGCAAUCUCACUUUCUUUCCCUGUUUCGCGCGUGAACAUGGGCAACAAGCGACACCGCGAUCGACAUUAUUAGGUUAGAAACUAAGUAGUGCCAACCCAAUAAGAAAAUCGAGCUCAAUGCGACACCGGUGCAAUUCGUCAGCUUUGUACGAAGUGUUAUAGGGAAUUAAUGUUAUAGUUUUUACCAACUUCAGUAAUUUUCAGCAAUAAAACUACACGCAGAGAUACGCUUUCAAAGAAGCAAACUGCUCGCCACACAAAACUUCGUCCAUUUAAUCGUCCCAAAAAAAGAAAAGAAAAGACAUCGCUACAAAGUGGAAUUUUGUAGAUAAGAUUUCAGUCUUCUCUCGAUCGGCUCUCCGCUCGGAAAAAAAACUGACACGAGAUCAUUAGACUGCACAAUGUACGCUACACGAAGGCUUAAUUUACGCGUUCUCGUUCACCAAACGAUCCCUUCUCCCGGUAAUUGUUAUCGUUGUUCCAUUAAAUUACGAUAAUUGGCGUAGAUACGGUGAUCCUGGCGAGGGUUCGCGCGCGUUACGCGUUCACUUUCGCGGACUGUCACGUGGCUAAGCUAUAUACGCGUUUCUCGCGCUGCAACCGGCCGGCUAUCGUGGUUAUUAAGGAAACAGACGAAGGAACGAAACGAAGGAAGAGGCGCGUUGGGUGGUCCCGCCCCGCUGUUUAUGGGGCACUGCAUCUGCUGGCCCCGUAUAACCCUCUACCGUCGACCUGUGUGGUCCCACCUUACGUCCGACUUUACAUUCGAUUCACUACUUGCUAAUGGUAGUUGCAUUAGCAUUAGGUGACCGGCUGCGUCUUGGUAUUAUAACCGGCACCGCGUUCACCGGCCUCGGUUCUUGCGUGAUUUUUCAACCGCGAUAUUGGCCCUCGUUCCUUUUCGCUAUGAAUCUGUUCGUUAACCAGUAGGCUGCUUUUUCGACGAGUUUACUCGUCACGAAAAAACGCCAGUACUUACCAACUCGUCAUGUUACAGUUUGCUAUUUAAAUAACAAUUUAAGUGAAAAGUAAAAUACAUUCGUAAGCUUAGGAAUAUUUGAAGGCCAAGACGAAAUGAAAGGGACAAAUAAGAAAAAUUUUUGCCCAGCUGAACAUUUGGUACAUUUUUCUUAAUUGAUAAUUAACAUGUGGAUGGCUACUCCCAGCAGGAUACCAUCUUCGAGUUUUAUUUCUUUAGUGAGAUUCCACGAUUUUCCACUCGUUCUACGGGCUGCUCACAGGAUACAGGAAAAUGUUUGGAAGAAAAGUGAAAUGGUUUGGAAUAUGCAAAUGUAUGUUGCUUUCAUCAAAAAGGGAAAAGUUUAAGAAAGCUUGUUCAAUGAUGUUUCUACUUUCACAUUUAACGACGUUAAAUGAUAAAUCCAUUCAACAACGAUCAGUGUCGUUUACAAGGAAUCUUCAGUUUACAAACUACGUAUUGGCUUGGCAACUAAGUGAUUGCGGAUUUUGUCAUUGGAUGGUAUUGACAUGCUUCUUUGCAAAUAACACGACGGCACAUAAUUUCCAACGGUACCGAGAAACUUGGUCGUGCAGCAACGACCUUAGUUUCACUUUUACCGCACCAUUGCCUCUCUCACUCUCGUAGCUUAAACGAUGUGCAGCCUACACGGUGCACAGUCAUCCGAAAUUCUCGUGGGCAAAAACCCGAAUGAAGAAAAAGUGAGAGAAAAAAGGCAUUUUUCCAGCAGACCAAUUCCAAUAUCGCGUACGAUAUGGUUUGUCGAGACUGAACGAUGCACGUGGUCGUUCGUGGUCGUCGCCGCCUGCAGGGUGAAAAAUACUUGUGCGGCCGAGCGUGCCACGUAAGUAAGUACUCGAUCGGUCUGGCCCGAGAAGGCAUCGAUCUCGCCAUUGAUCGAUCGAUCCGGAGGUCUCGGAUAAGAUGCUGUCGUCGUCCUGGUCUCGACCUGCUCGUCGUUCAACACAGGGUGGACCACACGCGUUGUGUCGCCUCUCUGACCUUCUCUCCGUCUCUCCUUCGCUGCCUCUGCUCUUGGCUCGCUCCGUUCUCUUCUUUCUCUCCUUUCUCUAGCUCUCCUUUCUCUAGCUCCCCUCUGAUUCACCGCUCCACUCUCACUUCGAUUCUCCUCUCUCCUAUCGUUGCUCUCUUUCCUGCCUUUCGCUCGCUACCAUCAUCCAUCGUGAGUCCUUUUUCUUCUGGUUCAACGAUCGUGCACGCGCGCGUCUUGCUCGAAAGGUGGAAGGUGAAAAAAGCGCAGGCUGAAAUAGAGGAAGGACGAAUAAAACGCUGCAUAUUACGUGCAAGCGACCUGAAUUUACAGAAUCUUUUUUUCUUUGCAGUUUCGUUCGAGACUCGGGAAGAAGAGUUGCGAGGAGCGGCCUCUGUUAUUUUAUUCGCACUCCGAUUGCGAUUUUUCCCGAAUUUCGUUUACACGUCGUCUGGUGAAGUAGACCUUGGAAGUUGUAAGAAGAAUCGAGUCGUUUGGUCGAAUUUUCGAGCGGUUAUUCUAUUUUAAAGGGCGCUGGAACACUUUGGUGAGUCGCUGUAGGGUAACCUAACCUAACAUGGAACAGCUGAUCUGAGAAACAUCGUAAAUAGAGCAACAUGCUUUCCUUGCGGCGAGAAUAACGCGACGUUAACACGCGACAAAAUUAAUAGACGCUCGUACGUUGAUUGUUAACUAUGGAAAAGUUGAAGGGUCCUAGAGUAACAGAAAAUGUGAAAUGCUGCGAGUUUAAGAAACGCUACACUUAGGUUAUGUAACACCUGCUAUGCAACACCUAGGAAAUUUGUAAAGAAAUCUCAGGAAACUUUGCUUCUUCUAUGAAAAAUGGAUAUUUAUAUAAAUAAAGAAGGAACAGAUAUGUUGCAAUUUUUAGCUUGUAUUAUAUCACAUUCAUUUUCUUUGUUUCCUACAGGUUUCCUACACCACGAACCUGCAGCACAUUCUUCAUGAUCCCAACGAAAACAGCGAAUACAUCGCACCUAUUUUUCACUAUUAUUCCGUCUAUUGUAAUCCUCACUAUGGAAUGAAUAUAAUCCUCUACCAUCAUCAUCAGUGGCAGCAUCAUUGACAUGUUGCAUGUUGCGUACACUCAACGUGCUCCUUCAUAUUCGGCACGUAGGUAUUUUGACAGAAAAAUAAUAAUAAUACUAGAAAGAAAAUAAACUAAAAUAAGAAUAUAAUAAAUUUCCCUUGGAUGCUGGGAAUAAACAAAUGCGUUUAAUGACAAGUUGUACAAAAGUGGUAUUUUUUAAGGUUUCUUCGCUGAGAAGUCGCCAUUCAACUCACCUCUCAAAAACUUGUAUCCAAACUCGGUCAUCAACUGCAUCCGACAGAUCUCCAAAUAAAAUUCAAACGUGGAUAUUUUUUA